UUUGCCGGGCGCAGUCUGCCCGCCUGCCGCGUGCAGGAUGAAGGCGUUAUGCGUUGUAAACUGCUUUUAUACAGGAAGAAACGACUCUUGCGAGAGGCAUUGACGGUACUGUAUGAAUAAGCACCGGCUAACUCCGUGCCAGCAGCCGCGGUAAUACGGAGGGUGCAAGCGUUGUCCGGAUUUAUUGGGUUUAAAGGGUGCGCAGGUGGUUUAUUAAGUCAGUGGUGAAAGACGGUCGCUCAACGAUUGCAGUGCCAUUGAAACUGGUAGACUUGAGUAAAGUAGAGGUGGGCGGAAUUGAUAGUGUAGCGGUGAAAUGCAUAGAUAUUAUCAAGAACUCCAAUUGCGUAGGCAGCUCACUUGGCUUUUACUGACACUCAUGCACGAAA
rnacentral:rRNA from 1 species